UCUCUCUCUCUCUCAUCCCACGCACACGGAUUUUCGAGGUUCGCGGAAGUUCAAAUAAAAAAAAGAAAAAGAAACCGAAAGAAAGGAAAAAAGAAAGAUAAAAAAACACUAAAUUCACCUUUUUGUCUGCAAAGUCGUGUAUAUAGGAAGUAUCCAGGUGUUUGUUUAGCCAGGUACACACACACACACACACACACACACACACACACACACAGACACAGAUGAGGGAACGGAGGAUUAUCAAGUGAAGGGAGAGGAACCGUGACCGAGAUGACUGAUGAAGAGGAAGAAGCCACAGCGAAGAAAGGGAAGGGGAAGACGGAGGGAGACAAAGCGAGACAGAUGAUAAAGGGUAGAAGCAAGGAAAGGCGGCGGAGCGGGGAGAGGGAAACACUGGAGGCGAGGAAGAAGGGAAGGAGUGCAAAUGGAAUGAAUCUUGUGGCUUUCUGUGCACUGUGAAAAAGAAAUCUUGGGUACGGUGGACAAGAGAAAGGAAACAUUGUGGUAUUUGUAAAAAGAGAAUGUGCAAAAUAAAGAUACUAUGUAGGGUACGAUUGACAAAAGAAAGGAAACGAAACAUUGUGGUAUUUGUAAAAAGAGAAUGUGCAAAAUAAAGAUUCUAUGUAGGGUACGACUGACAAAAGAAAGGAAACGAAACAUUGUGGUAUUUGUAAAAAGAGAAUGUGCAAAAUAAAGAUACUAUGUAGGGUACGAUUGACAAAAGAAAGGAAACGAAACAUUGUGGUAUUUGUAAAAAGAGAAUGUGCAAAAUAUAGAUACUAUUUGGAGAGAUUGUUAGGAAGGUAAUGACUGUUGAAAAAAAAAUAACUGGAAUUCGUUAAGACAUUGGAAGGAUCGGUUACAAAGGAGAGGAAACAUUGUGGCAUACGAAAAUAAGUUGUCCUAAAUAAAGAUACUGAAAGGUAAGAAAUUUAGGUAGAAAAUGACGUUUGAAAAAAAUAAUAACUGUAAUCGUAGAGACAUUGGAAGGAUCGGUUACAAAUGAUAGGAAACAUUGUGAUAUAUGUAAAAAGAAAAUGUACUAAAUAUAAACACUAUUUGGAAAGACAGCAAGGAAGGUAAUGACGUUUGAAAAAAAAAAUAAUUCGUUGCGACAUUAGAAGGAUAGGUUACAAAAGAGAGGAAACAUUGUGGCAUAUUUUAAUGAAGAGAUAAUGUGAUGAAUUAAAAAAAAACUGUUUGGAGAGAAUGUAAAGAAGGUAAUGACGGUUGAAGAAAUUAACUGAAAUUCGUAUAGACAAUAGAUGAGUUAGUUACAAAUGAGAGUAUACAAAAUGGGCGAAAUAUAGAUACUGUUUGGAAAGAUAGGAGGAAGGUCAUGACGGUUGAAGAGAGGAACUGAGAGAAGGAGAAGUUGAAAUCCUUAAAAUUCGUUACAACAAUAGAAUGAUCGGUUACAAAAGAGGAAACGUUGUGGUAUGUAAAGAGAGAACGUGCUGAAAAAAUAUGCUGUAAGGAAAGAAAUUAAGGAAGGUAAUGACUUUAUGAAAAAUUAAUAAAAUCCCCAGACAAAGGUUUAGUCAGAAAACAGAGGAAACAGUUUGGUCAAUAAAGAGAAAAUGUGCCAAAUAAAGACACUAUAAGAGAAAAAAUAGAGGAGGUAAUGACGGUUAAAAAAUAAUUGAAAGAUAAAUAAAGGUUAAUUGUGUAAUAUUCAUGGGGACAACAGAAGGCUUGGUUACGAAAGAAAAUAAACGAUAUGGUAUUUUUUUACAGCAAAGGAGACAGCACAAGAUCACAAAAAAAGGAAACAAUAAUAUAUAAAAAAAGCCCGCUACUUGCUGCUCAUAAAUAAUAAAAUAAUAAAUAAUAAAGAAAAUAUGCUAAAUUCAACUAUUAGGAGAGAAAAUAUGGAGGCUAAUGACUGUUGAAGAAAUGGAAUGAGAGAAGAGAGCAUUAAGGUGAACUCUGUAAUAUUCGUGAGGGAAGAGUGACUGAAAAUUUAAGAACGUGACGGAAGGAAAGUGAAUAAUUUUGGGAUGUUAAGAAAAUCCAGUCAGAGUGAUGGAAGGUGACAGGUUAUGGCUCGACUGGAUCACGAAAUCGAGUGAAUUGAAAGUAAAAGGGGGAAAAAAAUGCGAUAAUGAUGAGAAUAAGAUGAAGACGAGGUACGAGGAAGUGAGUAAGAUGAAAAUGAGUCAAGUUGGAUAUUCACCAGAGAAGUGGAUAAAUCGUUCGUUAGGAAAAGGAAAACUAGAAUAAUGAUGGAAAAGGGAGCGUUAAUAAUGAUAUGAAUGGAAAAAAAGGAAAAUGAAGAGUGAGAGAUAGAAAAGAAUACACUGAUAAAGAUUAGAAGAAGGAUAAAUCGAAGAAGAAAACUCACUAGACGGACAAUAAAUCAAAGAGCAGAUAAAUAAAGAGGAAGAGGGGAAAAAAAGAGGAUAAAUAUGUCAGUAGAUGAACAAUGAGAGACAAAACACGUAGAUAAAAGGGAAGAGGAAGAUGAAAACAGUAAAUAAACAAUAAACAAAUAAAUAAGAAUAGGUAAAUAAAGAGGAAGAUACAAAAAAUAAAGAGGAUAAAUAUGCCCGUAGAUGAACAAUGAGAGACAAAACACGUAGAUGAAGAGGAAGAGGAAGAUGAAAACAGUAAAUAAACAAUAAACAAAUAAACAAGAAUAGGUAAAUAAAGAGGAAGAGAAAAAAUGAAGAGGAUAAAUAGGUAUGUCAAUAGAUGAACAAUGAGAGACAAAACACGUAGAUAAAGAGGAAGAGGAAGAUGAAAACAGUAAAUAAACAAUAAACAAAUAAACAAGAAUAGGUAAAUAAAGAGGAAGAGAAAAAAUGAAGAGGAUAAAUAGGUAUGUCAGUAGAUGAGCAAUAAGAGACAAAACACGUAGAUAAAGAGGAAGAAGAAGAAAUUAAAGAUGAAAACAGUAAAUAAAAAAAA